AAUCAACGCUGGCGGCGUGCCUAACACAUGCAAGUCGAACGCGAAAGCCCUUUCGGGGGUAAGUAGAGUGGCGUCCGGGUGAGUAACACGUAGGUAAUCUACCUUCGGGUGGGGAAUAACUCGCCGAAAGGCGAGCUAAUACCGCAUAAUGCAGCGGCACCUAAUGGUGAUUAGUUGUUAAAGCGGGGGAUCGUAAGACCUCGCGCCUGAAGAGGAGCCUGCGGCAGAUUAGCUAGNGGUGAGGUAAUGGCUCACCAAGGCUUCGAUCUGUAGCUGGUCUGAGAGGACGGCCAGCCACACUGGCACUGACACACGGGCCAGACUCCUACGGGAGGCAGCAGUGGGGAAUUUUGGGCAAUGGGCGCAAGCCUGACCCAGCAACGCCGCGUGAGGGAGGAAAUCCUUCGGGAUGUAAACCUCACAAGCAAGGGAAGAGAGCUCAGGACCAAAUAAGUCCUGAGUCCGACGGUA
rnacentral:rRNA from 1 species